rnacentral:rRNA from 1 species
UACGUAGGGACCAAGCGUUGUUCGGAUUUACUGGGCGUAAAGGGCGCGUAGGCGGCGAGGUAAGUCACUUGUGAAAUCUCUGAGCUUAACUCAGAACGGCCAAGUGAUACUGCAGUGCUAGAGUGUGGAAGGGGCAAUCGGAAUUCUUGGUGUAGCGGUGAAAUGCGUAGAUAUCAAGAGGAACACCUGAGGUGAAGACGGGUUGCUGGGCCAACACUGACGCUGAUGCGCGAAAGCCAGGGGAGCAAACGGG